rnacentral:rRNA from 1 species
GAUGAACGCUAGCUACAGGCUUAACACAUGCAAGUCGAGGGACCGGCGCACGUGUGAGUAAUACGUAACCAACCUUCCCUUUACUCGGGGAUAGCCUUUCGAAAGAAAGAUUAAUACCCGACAUAAAGGACGGGGAUGCGUUCGAUUAGGUUGUUGGUGAGGUAACGGCUCACCAAGCCUUCGAUGGAUAGCGGUUCUGAGAGGCAGCUACCCGACAUUGGAGCUGAGACACGGUCCAAUCUCCUACGGGGGGCAGCAGUGAGGUAUAUGGGGCAAUGAGCGCUAGCGUGAACCUGCCGAGUAGCGUGAAGGAUGAAGGCUUAUUGGUGGUAAACUUGUUUUAUAUAAGAAGCUGUAUUAUAUGAAGAAGGAUCGGCUAACUCCGUGCCAGCAGCCGCGGUAAUUC